rnacentral:lncRNA from 1 species
CUGAUGCCUUCAUUCACAUUCGGGCCUUGUAUUUUUCAAACAAAUUUCAUGUUGUUGUUUUUUCCCCCCAGGUUGAACCUUUGUAAAUAAUGAAAGUGGGAGAAACUUGAUCCGCCCUGGCUCUGUGGCUAAACCAUAAAGACUUCUGUAGAUGAGGAGAAGAAGGUAUGGAUGUGUCAUCUGGCUUGGAGAGAGGUCCUCGACAAAGCCAGCUAACAUUGGACGUGAACAGAAAUGCACUGCUGAAGAAACAAUCUGUUUAUGCCACAGAGUUAAGUUGUGAUAAAAUGUGCAUGUUCCUGUCCCCUGUCUUACCAAUCCCGUUAAUGUAGAGGUGUGAAAAGUGCCCGCUUUGUGCAAUUGUCCUGACAGGAGGCUGUGCAGAUGCAGCACCUGCUUUUUUGCUCCAGAAAAUUUUCAAAAGAAGACACGGUCGCCCUUUGGCUCCUCCACAGAGGCCAUCUCCUUGCAUGCAGCCUGCUCCGGGGCGCAUCAUCUCCUGGGUGAGUUCUCACUUGGCAUUUACAUAUUACUUUGCUUAAGUUCUAGAGGUCAAAUACGUUU